UACCAAACCCUAGCAGACUCCGAAGACCUUAUAUGUAAUCACAGCAGUCAGGCGGCGAGUGAUAAAAUCCGUCGUCAAGAGGGAAACAACCCAGACUACCAGCUAAGGUCCCUAAGUCUUGCUUAAGUGGAAAACGAUGUGAAGUUACUUAAGCAACCAGGAGGUUGGCUUAGAAGCAGCCAUCCUUUAAAGAAAGCGUAAUGGCUCGCUGGUCUAGUGAUUUUGCGCGGAAGAUAUAACGGGGCUAAAGUAAGU
rnacentral:rRNA from 1 species